rnacentral:rRNA from 1 species
ACGGAGGGCGCGAGCGUUAAUCGGAAUUACUGGGCGUAAAGCGCGCGUAGGCGGCCGAUCAAGUCAGAGGUGAAAGCCCUUGGCUCAACCGUGGAACUGCUUUUGAUACUGUAUAGCUGGAGUGUGGGAGAGGUAGAUGGAAUUCCUGGUGUAGGGGUAAAAUCCGUAGAGAUCAGGAGGAACACCGGUGGCGAAGGCGAUCAACUGGACUAUUAUUGACGCUGAGGCGCGAAAGCGUGGGGAGCAAACAG